GUCCCUGUCGAUUAGUGGUUAAAUCAUCUCGUUGUGGCCGAGAAGCCGGGUGUUCGACUCACCCCAGAGACA